GCCUAGGAAAUUGCCCUGAUGUGGGGGAUAACCAUUGGAAACGAUGGCUAAUACCGCAUGAUGCCUACGGGCCAAAGAGGGGGACCUUCGGGCCUCUCGCGUCAGGAUAUGCCUAGGUGGGAUUAGCUAGUUGGUGAGGUAAUGGCUCACCAAGGCGACGAUCCCUAGCUGGUCUGAGAGGAUGAUCAGCCACACUGGAACUGAGACACGGUCCAGACUCCUACGGGAGGCAGCAGUGGGGAAUAUUGCACAAUGGGCGCAAGCCUGAUGCAGCCAUGCCGCGUGUAUGAAGAAGGCCUUCGGGUUGUAAAGUACUUUCAGUCGUGAGGAAGGUGGUGUUGUUAAUAGCAGCAUCAUUUGACGUUAGCGACAGAAGAAGCACCGGCUAACUCCGUGCCAGCAGCCGCGGUAAUACGGAGGGUGCGAGCGUUAAUCGGAAUUACUGGGCGUAAAGCGCAUGCAGGUGGUGGAUUAAGUCAGAUGUGAAAGCCCGGGGCUCAACCUCGGAACCGCAUUUGAAACUGGUUCACUAGAGUACUGUAGAGGGGGGUAGAAUUUCAGGUGUAGCGGUGAAAUGCGUAGAGAUCUGAAGGAAUACCGGUGGACGAAGGCG
rnacentral:rRNA from 1 species